ACGCUGGCGGCACGCCUAACACAUGCAAGUCGAACGAAGUAGCAAUACUUAGUGGCAGACGGGUGAGUAACAUGUAGGUAUCUGCCCUUUGGCCUGGAAUAACACGAGGAAACUUGUGCUAAUACCGGAUAAGUCUUUACGGAGAAAGCUUUAUGCACCAUUGGAUGAGCCUGCACUUGAUUAGUUUGUUGGUGGGGUAAUGGCCUACCAAGACUGUGAUCAAUAGCUGAUUUGAGAGGAUGAUCAGCCACAUUGGGACUGAGACACGGCCCAAACUCCUACGGGAGGCAGCAGUGGGGAAUCUUGCACAAUGGAGGAAACUCUGAUGCAGCGAUGCCGCGUGAGUGAAGAAGGCCUUUGGGUUGUAAAGCUCUUUCGUCGGGGAAGAAAAUGACUGUACCCGAAUAAGAAGGUCCGGCUAACUUCGUGCCAGCAGCCGCGGUAAUACGAAGGGACCUAGCGUAGUUCGGAAUUACUGGGCUUAAAGAGUUCGUAGGUGGUUGAAAAAGUUGGUGGUGAAAUCCCAGAGCUUAACUCUGGAACUGCCAUCAAAACUUUUCAGCUAGAGUAUGAUAGAGGAAAGCAGAAUUUCUAGUGUAGAGGUGAAAUUCGUAGAUAUUAGAAAGAAUACCAAUUGCGAAGGCAGCUUUCUGGAUCAUUACUGACACUGAGGAACGAAAGCAUGGGUAGCGAAGAGGAUUAGAUACCCUCGUAGUCCAUGCCGUAAACGAUGUGUGUUAGACGUUGGAAAUUUAUUUUCAGUGUCGCAGCGAAAGCGAUAAACACACCGCCUGGGGAGUACGACCGCAAGGUUAAAACUCAAAUGAAUUGACGGGGACCCGCACAAGUAGUGGAGCAUGUGGUUUAAUUCGAAGAUACGCGCAGAACCUUACCAACACUUGACAUGUUCGUCGCGACUUUAAGAGAUUAAAGUUUUCGGUUCGGCCGGACGAAACACAGGUGCUGCAUGGCCGUCGUCAGCUCGUGUCGUGAGAUGUUGGGUUAAGUCCCGCAACGAGCGCAACCCUCACUUUUAGUUGCCAUCAUUAAGUUGGGCACUCUGAAAGAACUGCCAGUGAUAAGCUGGAGGAAGGUGGGGAUGACGUCAAGUCCUCAUGGCCCUUACGUGUUGGGCUACACACGUGCUACAAUGGUAUCUACAACAGGAAGCAAAACCGCGAGGUUUAGCAAAUCCUUAAAAGAUACCUCAGUUCGGAUUGCACUCUGCAACUCGAGUGCAUGGAGCUGGAAUUACUAGUAAUCGUGGAUCAGCGUGCCACGGUGAAUGCGUUCCCGGGUCUUGUACACACCGCCCGUCACACCAUGGGAGUUGGUUCUACCUUAAGGCAAGGUUUUAAACCCUUGACCACGGUAUAGUCAGCGACUGGGGU
rnacentral:rRNA from 1 species